rnacentral:rRNA from 1 species
AUACGGAGGAUCCGAGCGUUAUCCGGAUUUAUUGGGUUUAAAGGGUGCGCAGGCGGCCAUUUAAGUCAGCGGUUAAAUCGUGGGGCUCAACCCCAUUCUGCCGUUGAUACUGGGUGGCUUGAUUGCGGUCGAGGUUGGCGGAAUUCGUUGUGUAGCGGUGAAAUGCAUAGAUAUGACGAAGAACACCGAUUGCGUAGGCAGCUGACCAGACCGCAAAUGACGCUCAUGCACGAAAGUGCGGGGAUCGAACAGGAUUAGAUACCCUGGUAGUCCGCACAGUAAACGACGAAUACUUGUUUUCGGCGAUAUAAUGUCGGAGGCAAAGCGAAAGCGAUAAGUAUUCCACCUGGGGAGUACGCCGGCAACGGUGAAACUCAAAGGAAUUGACGGGG